UACGUAGGGUGCGAGCGUUGUCCGGAAUUAUUGGGCGUAAAGAGCUCGUAGGCGGCUUGUCGCGUCGGAUGUGAAAGCCCGGGGCUUAACUCCGGGUCUGCAUUCGAUACGGGCAGGCUAGAGUUCGGUAGGGGAGAUCGGAAUUCCUGGUGUAGCGGUGAAAUGCGCAGAUAUCAGGAGGAACACCAAUGGCGAAGGCAGCACUCUGGGACGGUACUGACGCUGAGACGCGAAAGCGUGGGGAGCAAACAGG
rnacentral:rRNA from 1 species